rnacentral:rRNA from 1 species
UACGAAGGGUGCAAGCGUUAAUCGGAAUUACCGGGCGUAAAGCGUGCGUAGGCGGUUUGUUAAGUCUGUUGUGAAAUCCCCGGGCUCAACCUGGGAAUGGCAAUGGAUACUGGCAGGCUAGAGUGUGUCAGAGGAUGGUGGAAUUCCCGGUGUAGCGGUGAAAUGCGUAGAGAUCGGGAGGAACAUCAGUGGCGAAGGCGGCCAUCUGGGACAACACUGACGCUGAGGCACGAAAGCGUGGGGAGCAAACAGG